rnacentral:rRNA from 1 species
ACCCGCACAAGCGGUGGAUGAUGUGGUUUAAUUCGAUGCAACGCGAAAAACCUUACCCACCUUUGACAUGUACGGAACCUUUAGAGAUAGAGGGGUGCUCGAAAGAGAGCCGUAACACAGGUGCUGCAUGGCUGUCGUCAGCUCGUGUCGUGAGAUGUUGGGUUAAGUCCCGCAACGAGCGCAACCCUUGUCAUUAGUUGCUACAUUCAGUUGGGCACUCUAAUGAGACUGCCGGUGACAAGCCGGAGGAAGGUGGGGAUGACGUCAAGUCCUCAUGGCCCUUAUAGGUGGGGCUACACACGUCAUACAAUGGCUGGUACAAAGGGUUGCCAACCCGCGAGGGGGAGCCAAUCCCAUAAAGCCAGUCGUAGUCCGGAUCGUAGUCUGCAACUCGACUACGUGAAGUCGGAAUCGCUAGUAAUCGUGGAUCAGAAUGUCACGGUGAAUACGUUCCCGGGUCUU